UUUGCUAUGAAUAGAGACAAACCACAUACACUAGAGGUUGUUGUGGACUCCUGGCCUGAUUUUAAAACCAUCAUUUGUCGACCGCACCAAAAGAGUGAACACACCCUGCUUUAUAAUGAGGAACUGACUUUCUUCAGUACUGAUGAGAAGGUUCUUAAGAGAAUGUUGACAGAAGACAGCAUCUUAGAUUGGAAUAAAUACUUCAAAAUUGGAGGGAUUGACAUGCUUCAUACCACCAUGUUGAAGGACAUUUCUGCCUCAAAAGAUGUCACAAUGAGACCGUGUGGUGUAACUCACCUCCUGGAAUUACAAGACCCAAAUCACCUUCCUCACCUGACAGUGAGCAGAGAUGUGGAGGCCAGGAUCUCCUCUGUGACUGAAUCCCAUGUCGGUUUGGUGAAUAAAUCCUGGAAACGUGGAGGUGAUGAAAAUGGUUUCCAAGUAAUCAAACAUCUGAUAAGCCACUUCCCCACAUGUUGCAUCACUGAUGAAGAAGGCCGUCCAGUUUCCUGGGUGCUGCUGUAUGAUUACUGUGCCAUGGGGAUGGUGUACACCCUGCCAGAGCACAGGGGG